rnacentral:rRNA from 2 species
GCCUAAUAGUAACACAGUAAUAAAGCACGAAUUACUCGCCAAACCACUACGAGUGAAAACUUAAAACUUAAAAGACUUGACGGUACUUCAAACCCAACCUAGAGGAGCCUGUCUAAUAACCGAUAACCCACGUUUAACCCAACCCGCUUUAGCCAACCAGUCUAUAUACCGCCGUCACAGCCCACCUUAUGAAAGAAACAAAGUGCGCUCAAUAGCUUAACACUAACACGACAGGUCGAGGUGUAACUUAUAAGCGGGAACAGAUGGGCUACAUUUUCUCUAACAGAACAGACGAAUAAGGAUGUGAGACCAACCUUUAAAGGAGGAUUUAGCAGUAAGCCGCGACGCACAUUACCCAGCUGAAACUAAUGCAAUGAAGUGCGUACACACCGCCCGUCACCCCUGCAAAAAUUUAUCAAUUAUAAAUAAACCCAUUUAACCCCAAAAUCAGGGCAAGUCGUAACAUGGUAAGCGUACUGGAAAGUGCGCUUAGAAA